CUGCCUUGGCUUCCCGGAAUGUUAUGAUUACAGGCGUGAGCCACCUGGCCUGGCCCCGUCUUGAUAAAUUGGCUUUGUCUAGGCAGUGGACAAGGAGAACUCCACUGGGUGGUUGCAAAUCUGGGGAGUCAUCCGGGACCAUCCUUGUGGAUACCUGCCUGACGUUUGUUAGCCCUCCACCAGCGAUGGAUCUGGAGGCCCGCCCAAGUGGCAAUUUAGUUCUUGGACUGGGGGCUAACUGUAGCACCGUCUCUACCAGCAGGGUGUUGCCAACUCAUGGUGCAUGGAUUCAAAUGCAAUAAACAGUCCUGGGGAGAUGUCCCGCUCCUGUAGCCCCAUCAUGGGUGUCUGAUUUGCAGGGUGUUGCCAACUCAUGGUGCAUGGAUUCAAAUGCAAUAAACAGUCCUGGGGAGAUGUCCCGCUCCUGUAGCCCCAUCAUGGGUGUCUGAUUUGGAAUUGCUGAUGGAAGUCCAACAGGCUCUCCUAGUUUGUCUGGUCUGUCACAUUUGCUGAACCCUGAAGGAACUGUUAGCGGAAGCGCAACAGGCCUGACUCGUGGUGAUUUUCCAUUGUUCUGGAAGCUGCAGGGAAAGGGAACCCAGAAAUCUGGUAUGCCAGCAAAGAGAGUAAGAACUUCUGACAAGCCAGGCUUCUGGUCUCUCUCUCUCUGUCUCUCUCUCACUCUCUCUCUCUGUGAAUGGUAAACAUCAUUGUUUGUCUCCUCUGCAAGGGUUUGAUUAAUUGAAAAAGGGAUUUAUAACUGGGCACAGUGGCUGUAAUUCCAGCACUUUGGGAGGUCGA
rnacentral:lncRNA from 1 species